rnacentral:rRNA from 1 species
GACGAACGCUGGCGGCGUGUUUAACACAUGCAAGUCGAGCGGUAAGGCCCUUUCGGGGGUACACGAGCGGCGAACGGGUGAGUAACACGUGGGUGACCUGCCCUCAGCUCUGGGAUAAGCCUGGGAAACCGGGUCUAAUACUGGAUAUGACUCCAUGACGCAUGUUGUGGGGUGGAAAGCCUUGUGCGGCUGAGGAUGGGCCCGCGGCCUAUCAGCUUGUUGGUGGGGUGAGGGCCUACCAAGGCGACGACGGGUAGCCGGCCUGAGAGGCGACCGGCCACACUGGGACUGAGACACGGUCCAGACUCCUACGGGAGGCAGCAGUGGGGAAUUUUUCGCAAUGGGCGCAAGCCUGACGAAGCAACGCCGCGUAGAGGAUGAAGGCCCUCGCGGUCGUAAACUCUUGUCUAGCGGGACGAAACCUCCAUAAGUGAAUAACUUAUGGAAUUGACUGUACCGCUGGAGGAAGCUCCGGCCAACUCCGUGCCAGCAGCAGCCGCAGU